UGGGGAAUAUUGCACAAUGGGCGAAAGCCUGAUGCAGCAACGCCGCGUGCGGGAUGACGGCCUUCGGGUUGUAAACCGCUUUCAGCUUCGACGAAGCGCAAGUGACGGUAGGAGCAGAAGAAGGACCGGCCAACUACGUGCCAGCAGCCGCGGUGAUACGUAGGGUCCGAGCGUUGUCCGGAAUUAUUGGGCGUAAAGGGCUUGUAGGCGGUUUGUCGCGUCGGAAGUGAAAACUCAGGGCUUAACCCUGAGCGUGCUUUUGAUACGGGCAAACUAGAGGGAUGCAGGGGAGAACGGAAUUCCUGGUGGAGCGGUGGAAUGCGCAGAUAUCAGGAGGAACACCGGUGGCGAAGGCGGUUCUCUGGGCAUUUCCUGACGCUGAGAAGCGAAAGCGUGGGGAGCAAACA
rnacentral:rRNA from 1 species